GGAAGGCAGGCAUGUGGAAGCCAGGUGCUGAGUCCUGGCCUCUCCACACAGGUGCCGCCCAGGUGAUGUGGUUUGAGAAGCUGUAUGCUGGCCUGCAGUGCGUAGAGAAGUACCUCAUCUACCCCGCCGUGGUGCUCAACGCCCUCACGGUGGACGCCCACACAGUCGUCAGCCACCCGGACAAGUACUGCUUCUACUGCCGGGCGCUGCUGAUGACCGUGGCUGGGCUGAAGCUGCUGCGCUCAGCCUUCUGCUGCCCCCCACAGCAGUACCUGACGUUGGCCUUCACCGUCCUGCUCUUCCACUUUGACUACCCGCGCCUCUCCCAGGGCUUUCUGCUUGACUACUUCCUCAUGUCCCUGCUUUGCAGCAAGCUGUGGGACUUGCUGUACAAGCUGCGUUUCGUGCUGACCUACAUCGCGCCCUGGCAGAUCACCUGGGGCUCGGCUUUCCACGCUUUUGCCCAGCCGUUUGCCGUGCCACACUCGGCCAUGCUGUUCGUCCAGGCCCUGCUCUCGGGGCUCUUCUCCACGCCUCUCAACCCACUGCUAGGCAGUGCCGUCUUCAUCAUGUCCUACGCUCGGCCCCUCAAGUUCUGGGAGCGCGACUACAACACUAAACGUGUGGAUCAUUCCAACACCCGCCUGGUCACACAGCUGGACCGGAACCCUGGCGCUGAUGACAACAACCUCAACUCCAUCUUCUAUGAGCACUUGACACGUUCGCUGCAGCACACACUGUGUGGGGACCUGGUGCUGGGCCGCUGGGGCAACUAUGGCCCUGGUGACUGCUUCGUCCUGGCCUCCGACUACCUCAACGCCCUGGUGCACCUCAUCGAGGUUGGCAAUGGCCUCGUCACCUUCCAGCUGCGUGGCCUUGAGUUCCGGGGCACUUACUGCCAGCAGCGCGAGGUGGAGGCCAUCACCGAGGGUGUGGAGGAGGACGAGGGCUGUUGCUGCUGUGAACCUGGCCACCUGCCACGGGUCCUGUCCUUCAAUGCUGCCUUUGGGCAGCGCUGGCUGGCUUGGGAGGUAACAGCCAGCAAGUACGUGCUGGAGGGCUAUAGCAUUAGUGACAAUAAUGCUGCCUCCAUGCUGCAGGUUUUCGACCUCCGCAAGAUCCUCAUCACCUACUAUGUCAAGAGCAUCAUCUACUACGUGAGCCGCUCACCAAAGCUGGAGGUAUGGCUCAGCCAUGAGGGCAUCACGGCAGCCCUGAGGCCUGUGCGGGCGCCCGGCUAUGCCGACUCGGAUCCCACCUUCUCGCUGAGCGUGGAUGAGGACUAUGACCUCCGCCUGUCUGGCCUCUCACUGCCCUCCUUUUGUGCUGUGCACCUCGAGUGGAUCCAGUACUGCGCCUCCCGGCGCAGCCAGCCCGUGGACCAGGAUUGGAACUCCCCGCUGGUCACGCUGUGUUUUGGCCUGUGUGUGCUGGGCCGCCGGGCCCUGGGGACAGCCUCUCACAGCAUGUCUGCAAGCCUGGAGCCCUUCCUCUACGGCCUGCACGCCCUGUUCAAGGGGGAUUUUCGCAUCACCUCCCCACGUGAUGAGUGGGUCUUUGCCGACAUGGACCUGCUUCACCGCGUUGUGGCGCCUGGGGUUCGCAUGGCCCUCAAGCUUCACCAGGACCACUUCACGUCCCCAGAUGAAUAUGAGGAGCCAGCAGCCCUAUAUGAUGCCAUUGCGGCCAACGAGGAGCGGCUGGUCAUCUCACAUGAGGGUGACCCAGCAUGGCGCAGCGCCAUCCUCAGCAACACGCCCUCCCUGCUGGCGCUGCGCCAUGUCCUGGAUGAUGCCUCCGACGAGUACAAGAUCAUCAUGCUCAACCGGCGCCACCUCAGCUUCCGAGUCAUCAAGGUUGGGCCGGCCCCACCUGCCCUAAGCCCUGCCCCAAACCCCCUUGGGCCGGCCCCCUGACCCUGGCGUGUGGCUCUCAGGUGAACCGGGAGUGCGUGCGCGGCCUGUGGGCCGGGCAGCAGCAGGAGCUGGUGUUCCUGCGCAACCGCAACCCCGAGCGUGGCAGCAUCCAGAACGCCAAGCAGGCGCUUCGCAACAUGAUCAACUCCUCCUGUGACCAGCCGCUUGGCUACCCCAUCUACGUGUCGCCUCUCACCACCUCGCUGGCUGGCAGCCACCCCCAGCUACGGGCACUGUGGGGUGGCCCCAUCAGCCUGGGUGCCAUUGCCCGCUGGCUCCUGCGCAGCUGGGAGAGGCUUCACAAGGGCUGUGGCGCCGGCUGCAAUAGUGGCGGGAACGUGGAUGAUUCAGACUGUAGUGGGGGCGGUGGCCUGACCUCCCUCAGCAAUAACCCCCCCGUGGCACACCCCACACCUGAGAACACGGCAGGCAAUGGUGACCAACCCCUCCCACCAGGCCCUGGCUGGGGGCCGCGGUCCUCCCUGAGUGGCUCUGGUGAUGGGCGGCCCCCACCUCUGCUGCAGUGGCCUCCCCCUCGGCUCCCUGGACCACCCCCUGCAUCGCCUAUCCCCACAGAGGGUCCCCGGACCUCACGGCCCCCUGGCCCGGGUCUCCUCAGUUCUGAGGGCCCCAGUGGGAAGUGGAGCCUGGGGGGCCGGAAGGGGCUGGGAGGAUCUGACGGGGAGCCAGCCUCAGGGAGCCCCAAAGGAGGUACCCCCAAAUCUCAGGUAAGGCACCUGUGGGAGGGUUGGGUCCCAGAAGGCUAAGGCCUGCUCACCCGCCAACCUCUCUCCCCUCCCCCAGGCGCCUCUAGACCUCAGCCUCAGCCUCAGCCCCGAUGUCAGCACUGAGGCCUCACCCCCCAGAGCUUCCCAGGACAUUCCUUGCUUGGACAGCAGUGCCCCUGAGAGUGGCACACCUAUGGGUGCCCUGGGCGACUGGCCUGCCCCUAUUGAGGAGCGUGAGAGCCCGGCAGCCCAGCCCCUGCUGGAACACCAGUACUGAGCUACCUGGCGCCCACUGGACCUCCUCCUAGGAUUCAGUAACGGACCUGCUCUGCUGCCUCUCUGCUGGACCACAGAACUGAGUGGCUUUGGCCUACAUGUCUGAACCCUGACCUUUGGCUGCCUUGGCCAGAGUGCCAAAACUGAGUGACCCAGACCUCUGACCUUGACCCCUGAUCUCUCUCAUCCCCAGUCCAGGGCCUGGGCUCCCCAGAUGGAGGCAGUCAGCCUCCCAGCCAGGCCCUAAGAGCCAAACCAUGGGCUGGUCCCACUUGGAGCCUGUGGCCAGGACCACUUCAGCCCCUGGGCCUGCACUGCCUGCAGGGGU
rnacentral:sRNA from 1 species